rnacentral:tRNA from 1 species
CCUCCAUUAGCUCAGUGGCAGAGCGGGGUACUUAUGAUGCUUAGGUCGCCAGUUCGAAUCUGGCAUGGAGCA